UGGCAUAGCCAGACAAAAAGAUUGCUCAGAAUCCUAGUCUAUCUGACUGGCUGCCAAAUGUAUACCAUAUAUGUAUCUUCUGCACAGCACAGGCCAAGCUCUCAAAACACAGAAAAAUGAAAUUUGGGAAGAGCAGGUGAAACAUUUGCAUCUCAAAGACACUAGGACAAAAAUGCAAGGUCCUCUAUAGAAGAGUUUUUUUUUUUUUUCCCACCCCUUUGAAGUCAGAUUUCUGAAAAGAUGUUCAUCAAACCAGGUUUUUUAAGCUAUGCUUGCAAAAACAUAAUUUUGGUAUGUCAAAACAAGCCUCAAUUUGGCCAUUUUUUGGGUGAGAUGUCCUUUAAUUCACAACAAAUAAGUAUUUGUAAGUGUAAAUUCUGUACUUACACAAUAAAACCUUCCCAGUGUGUCUCAACUGAGGAUAACCCUCUAAGUGUCUUUCAACUGAGAAAAAUUUCUCAGUGUCUUUUACUCUGGCAUUUCUUCUUGAAACUAAAUUUCUAGGAAAAUCUGCUACUGCAUAAAUUUAUCACCACUGACUAAAACUCAGGUUCAUCAGUAAAUAAUGGAAGAUUCACCCAGAAUCAUCUGGACCCUCUGAGGAGGCACAUAGGCACAAGGGAACUUCUGUUAGUGCCAAAGCUAGAGAUCCUCAUGGAGAUCAGGUGAAGAAGAGAAGUCUGGUUUUGGCACCUUUGUUGGUCACCAAACCAAAAUUGUUGACUGAAAAACAAAUGCACAAGCUAAAAGUUUUAAGUUAUGUUUUAUUUGGGGACCUUACUCAGGACUAUAACCUAGGAUACAGCCUCUCAGAGAGUUCUGAGGAACUCUUACAGAGAGAUUAGGAAGGAUUCAAAUUAUCUAGGAGUUUUUACUGAAAAAACAAAAGCAAAACUGUAAUGGAACACAUCAAAAUUACCUCUAAUAAUAAUUAAAAAACAAAAAACAAAACAGGCAUCUCAAGUUAAUGCCUUUUUAUAUAUAGUAAGAUACAAGAGUCGGGGCUUAUUGAAAUUAUUCCUUUGAUAUGUGUCCUAACUACUGGGGCCAGUAUCCUGUUUUUCUCCAUCCUGAAUCCCCCCAGUGUACACCAUCUGGUUCUGUUGUCUUCAUGGUAGGCAACGUUCAUUGUUUACCAAAAUGUCAGGCAACAUUUUUUUGUCUGCAAGAAAAAAUUGUCACCAUUUUUCCUAGAUAAAAAUAGUUGCUUCCUUGUUAUUUUUCAGGACUUUUUCCAUGUUUUUUUCUUUUUUUCUAAUUACAUCCAUCUUAUCUAUUUACUGAGCAGUGGAAAUUUUAUUUUCACUUUCAUUUUCUGGUUUUCCUUGAAAUUUACAUGAGUUUUUCCAUUAUAUUUUUCAGAACAACUCAAGAAGGAAAUUGAGAAGAAGAAGGCUCAAUUCAAGUCUGGUGAGUAAUGAUCAUCUCUCAGAAACCUUCACUGUUCUGUUUUUCUUAGAUUCUGCCCCUAUGCCAAUGGGAUAGAAUGCAGAAAUACAACAAAAAUGUUUAGUGUAAGCACAGCAGCAUUGGAAGCAUUAUAUUUAUUAAUAUCAAUGCUUUCAAUAAAUUCUCUCUGAAAUGCAAGCCACUAAUUAUUCAGCCUGUAAUUCUUCCUCUCCCCUUUCAUUCAUUUCUUCCUUCCUUCCUUCCUUCUAUGCUCCUUCCUUCAUGCUCCUAUCCCUGCUACCUUUGCUUUUUUCUAUAUUUCUAUCUAUCCUCCACCUGAUCAUUUUUAUCACCAUGUUUGAAUAUUGGAAUAUGAGGAUAUAGGAUAGAAAGAGGAAAUUCAAAGGAUUCGGUAGAAGAAAUAGAGCAAAGGCAAAUAUUUCUUAUAUUUGUUUUUAAUAUAACAAAAAAGACAAUGAAAGAAUAAAAUGAUAAAAGUAAGGCUUUUUCUAUUUUGUUCUUUUGCAGUAUGGAGAGAAACACCAUUGUAUGCUGGAGUUUAUUACUAUAGUGCUCUGGACAGUUGGACAGCUCUACCUGUCAGACGGUGGAUUCUCAUGUUCAUUUGUUCCUUGCAGAUUGGAGAAAAGAAGAGUUCCAGACUGUAAAUCUGACUCUGGAUGCAGCCACUGCCCAUCCUGCCCUCUUCCUGUCUGAAGAGGGGAGAAGAGUAACCUGGAAAGAACCAUCUCAGGAACUUCCCAGCUGCUCACGGAGAUUUGUCUCCCUUCCCUGUGUGCUUGGUCAACUGCAUGUCGGCUCAGGGAGAUUCUUCUGGGAGGUGGAGGUUGGGGAUGCACAGUCCUGGGACCUGGGAGUUUGUAGGGAUAAUGUAGUAAG